AUAGUGAAUAUUUUAGCCACGAUUAUUUAAGUAUUUUCGUACAAAUGUAGAGAUAUUUCACCGCAAACGGCAAACGCAAAGGGUCAAAUUUAUUAAUUUAACAUGCUUGAAUUUCAUACUAUUCUAUGAUUUGUCAGAUUUGCUGAGUAUAAACUUUUAUUUACAGGUGUGAAGACAUGCAUGAAAUUACUAUGUGCUACAAUCUUUAAAAGAGGGAUUUAGGAUGUCAAAGAAAUCAGUAUUUUGUCAAGAAACUUAUGUACCAAUUUAACAUCAUGUCAUAUAAAGCUGAGGCCUCUUUUCCAUUCAUUGCAAGAGCAACAUAACCUUUGCUAGUGUUUUCAACCAAUCGUCAUUCUCCCCCACUUUACAUGGAAGCAUUGAAUCAUUCACAGUGAGCUUGUAAUGAUUUUGGCGAUAAGUUGAAAGUGGCAUGAGGGUGCUGAAAGGGUGCCAGGAGAAGCCGACAUGGUGCUGUGGGCACUAAUGACCUGGUAACACAAUUUUACAUGGGUUUCUGGGCAAUGGUGUGAUGGCUUGAUAAUUUCCAUUCUUGACUAUUGUGUGCCAGUGUGCAGUUGAUAGUAAAUAAGAUAGUUUGUAGGGGUCCACUCACCAAUGGAUCUCAGUUUAGGUUAAAACCUGGAAAAUAUAUGCCAGGCAGAGUAUAAAUUGUACUAUAUAUAAACUGUAUUAUAUAGUAAUGGCUAUAAAUAUGGCUAUAAAUUGUCAAAUAAAAUCACUUGCAGCUCUGGCUGAGAUUUUUGUUCAGUUACUGGCCAACUGAACUCUGGUCCAAACUUGAACAUGUUGGUUCUUGUCUCAGCAACUGAGAUACUCCCAUAUCAGAUGCUCCCAUAUAAAAUUUGCAGGCUUGAGUGUACAAUGUACAUAGCCAUUUGAAAAAAUGAGAAUCAAUUUGUACGUUUUGAAUAAAGACUUAAAUCCAGGUAGUUGCAUCAUACAUCAAAACCUGCAAUAAAGCUUUGAGUUUGCUACUGUAAUCUCCCUGUUAAACCUCACCCCCCCCCCACUCUAAUACCCCACCCCCCCAAUUUAGAUGAAAAAAUUGUUGAGCCCCCUCUCUAUUAAACAUUCU